AGCAAUGUAGCUCAGUUGGUAGAGUGCUUGCCUAGCAUGCAUGAGGUCCUGGGUUCAAUUCCCAGCAUGAUA